rnacentral:rRNA from 1 species
UACGGGGGGGGCAAGCGUUGUUCGGAAUUACUGGGCGUAAAGCGCACGUAGGCGGCUUUGUAAGUUAGAGGUGAAAGCCCGGGGCUCAACCCCGGAAUAGCCUUUAAGACUGCAUCGCUUGAAUCCAGGAGAGGUGAGUGGAAUUCCGAGUGUAGAGGUGAAAUUCGUAGAUAUUCGGAAGAACACCAGUGGCGAAGGCGGCUCACUGGACUGGUAUUGACGCUGAGGUGCGAAAGCGUGGGGAGCAAACAGG